rnacentral:tRNA from 1 species
CGGAUGUAGCCAAGNGGAUUAAGGCAG